CCUUUUCUGGCAGAAGAAGUCUGUCUUCACACAGCCCUGCUUUCCCAUCAUCAGCAGCAGGGUUGUAAGGAAUGCCAACAUCACCCUGGGCGUGAUCUUUGGUCUCUUUGUUCUAACACUCUUCAGCAUGGUGCUGUCAUCACUGCUGAUCUAUCAGAUGUAUAACACGAGCAUCAGGUUGAACUGCCAGUGGAUGGACCAGCCACCUGCCUACGAGCUGCUGGACGACACGCCAGAGAAGACGCCUUCAGCCUCAAACCCUCCUCACAACUUUCAGUUAUAGAGCUGGUGUUAGUCUAAACCACCUAUACUAAAUCAAUCAAUUAAUCUAAUGGGACAUGACCUGAUAAAGACAGAGGGAAUGGACACAGGCUACAUAUACACUGGGGAUAGAAGGGUAAUAUAUCAUAUAUCAGUAAUAUCAUAUCUGUGGAAUAAAAAAAUGAAUAAAAAAGGAACCUUCAGAUGUUGUUUGGUGACAGAAAAUAUAUAUAUAUAUGAUUAAAUAUCAGA